rnacentral:rRNA from 1 species
UACGGAGGGUGCGAGCGUUGUCCGGAAUCACUGGGCGUAAAGGGCGCGUAGGCGGUCUGCUAAGCGUGCGGUGAAAGCCUGGGGCUCAACCCCAGGUCUGCCGUGCGAACUGGUGGACUCGAGCACUGUAGAGGCAGGUGGAAUUCCGGGUGUAGCGGUGGAAUGCGUAGAGAUCCGGAAGAACACCAGUGGCGAAGGCGGCCUGCUGGGCAGUUGCUGACGCUGAUGCGCGACAGCGUGGGGAGCAAACAGG